rnacentral:misc_RNA from 1 species
CAGUGUUGUUAAAGGUGCUCCAAGGAGCCAGGCGAGGCGAGGCAAGACGACCCUCUAGAGCCUUGCUUGGCUGCACCUCACCUAGAUUGCAAGAGGCAAGCACUCCAGAGAAAAAGGCGCCAGGCUAGAGGCAAUAGAAGCAACACCUUUUUCAUAUAAUGUUAAUUUUUUUUUUUAAUUUGUUUAUUUGGUUAGAUCAAAACAAAUGGCUGAAAAA